GACGAGCCUCACAAACGUUAUUCGGAAUUACUGGGCUUAAAGGGUGCGUAGGCGGCGCGGAAAGUUGGGUGUGAAAUCCCUCGGCUCAACCGAGGAAUUGCGCUCAAAACUACCGUGCUAGAGGGAGAUAGAGGAAUGCGGAACUUAGGGUGGAGCGGUGAAAUGCGUUGAUAUCCUAGGGAACACCGGUGGCGAAAGCGGCAUUCUGGAUCUCAUCUGACGCUGAUG
rnacentral:rRNA from 1 species